AUUACUCCUACGGGAGGCAGCAGUGGGGAAUAUUGGACAAUGGGCGAAAGCCUGAUCCAGCCAUGCCGCGUGUGUGAAGAAGGUCUUCGGAUUGUAAAGCACUUUAAGUUGGGAGGAAGGGUUGUAGAUUAAUACUCUGCAAUUUUGACGUUACCGACA
rnacentral:rRNA from 1 species